rnacentral:rRNA from 1 species
GACGAACGCUGGCGGCGUGCUUAACACAUGCAAGUCGAACGGAAAGGCUCUGCUUUUGUGGGGUGCUCGAGUGGCGAACGGGUGAGUAACACGUGAGUAACCUGCCCUUGACUUUGGGAUAACUUCAGGGAACUGGGGCUAAUACCGGAUAGGAGCUCCUGCUGCAUGGUGGGGGUUGGAAAGUUUCGGCGGUUGGGGAUGGACUCGCGGCUUAUCAGCUUGUUGGUGGGGUAGUGGCUUACCAAGGCUUUGACGGGUAGCCGGCCUGAGAGGGUGACCGGCCACAUUGGGACUGAGAUACGGCCCAGACUCCUACGGGAGGCAGCAGUGGGGAAUAUUGCACAAUGGGCGGAAGCCUGAUGCAGCAACGCCGCGUGCGGGAUGACGGCCUUCGGGUUGUAAACCGCUUUCGCCUGUGACGAAGCGUGAGUGACGGUAAUGGGUAAAGAAGCACCGGCUAACUACGUG